AAAGGGUAGCAAUACCUUAGUAAAGCGGCGCACGGGUGAGUAACACGUGGGUAACCUGCCUCAGAGUGGGGAAUAACACCGGGAAACCGGUGCUAAUACCGCAUACGCCGAUGGGGUCUUCGGACUUUAUCGGGAAAGGAGCAAUUCGCUCUGAGAGGGGCCCGCGGCUGAUUAGCUAGUUGGUGAGGUAAUGGCUCACCAAGGCAAUGAUCAGUAUCCGGUCUGAGAGGACGGUCGGACACACUGGAACUGAGACACGGUCCAGACUCCUACGGGAGGCAGCAGUGGGGAAUUUUUGGCAAUGGGGGAAACCCUGACCAAGCAACGCCGCGUGGAUGAUGAAGUAUUUCGGUACGUAAAAUCCUUUCGACGGGGACGAAACCGCAAGGUUGACGGUACCCGUAGAAGAAGCCCCGGCUAACUCCGUGCCAGCAGCCGCGGUAAUACGGGGGGGGCAAGCGUUGUUCGGAAUUACUGGGCGUAAAGGGCGCGUAGGCGGCCUGCUAAGUCGGAUGUGAAAACUCUGGGCUCAACCCAGAGCCUGCAUUCGAUACUGACGGGCUAGAGUACUGGAGGGGAAAGCGGAAUUCCUGGUGUAGCGGUGAAAUGCGUAGAUAUCAGGAGGAACACCGGUGGCGAAGGCGGCUUUCUGGACAGUAACUGACGCUGAGGCGCGAAAGCUAGGGGAGCAAACAGGAUUAGAUACCCUGGUAGUCCUAGCCCUAAACGAUGGAUACUUGCUGUGAGGGGGAUUGAAACCCUUCGUGGCGAAGCUAACGCAUUAAGUAUCCCGCCUGGGGAGUACGGUCGCAAGGCUGAAACUC
rnacentral:rRNA from 1 species